AACGAACGCUGGCGGCGCGCCUAAUACAUGCAAGUCGAGCGAGAAGACGUAGCAAUACGUUUGUAAAGCGGCGAACGGGUGAGGAAUACAUGGGUAACCUACCCUCGAGUGGGGAAUAACUAGCCGAAAGGUUAGCUAAUACCGCGUACGCUCCUUGGACUUCGGUUCAGGGAGGAAAGCGAUACCGUGGGUAUCGCGCUCUUGGAUGGGCUCAUGUCCUAUCAGCUUGUUGGUGAGGAACGGCUCACCAAGGCUUCGACGGGUAGCUGGUCUGAGAGGACGAUCAGCCACACUGGCACUGCGACACGGGCCAGACUCCUACGGGAGGCAGCAGUAAGGAAUAUUGCGCAAUGGGCGAAAGCCUGACGCAGCGACGCCGCGUGGGGGAUGAAGGUCUUCGGAUUGUAAACCCCUUUCGGGAGGGAAGAUGGAACGAGCAAUCGUUCGGACGGUACCUCCAGAAGCAGCCACGGCUAACUUCGUGCCAGCCGCCGCCGUAAU
rnacentral:rRNA from 1 species